rnacentral:rRNA from 1 species
UAAUAUUUAAUUAUUAUAUAUAUUUAUUUUUUUACUAAUUUUUUUGAGGAUAAGCUCAAAAAAAAGUUAAGAUUUUUUAGCUAAAAAUUAUUAUGUAGGCUUAAAAUUGGCCAUCAUAAAAGUUUAUUAUAAAAUAAUAACCUUAGUUUGAAAAAUAAAUAUACUGUAAAUCUAAAACCUUAUAGGGAUAAGAAUUUUAACUAGAGUUUAUUUUAUGCCUAUGCUAGAAUGAGUAUUAAAACCCAAUCUAUAAAAGAAAUUAUUCUUCAAAAAAUUAACUAAAAAAGAUUAAUUAAUUAGAAGGAAUUCAGCAAAUUUAAUUGCUCCGCCUGUUUAUCAAAAACAUGGCUCUUUGCUUAAUAAAUAUAAAGAGUCGAGCCUGCCCAGUGAAUCUUUCAACGGCCGCGGUACUCUGACCGUGCAAAGGUAGCAUAAUCAUUUGCCUUAUAAUUGAAGGCUAGUAUGAAUGGUUUGACGAGAGCAAUACUGUCUCCUUUUUAUUUUCAAGAACUUAACUUUUAGGUGAAGAGGCCUAAAUUUUAUUGAAGGACAAGAAGACCCUGUCGAGCUUAAAAGAAACUAUAGAGGUUUAAUAUAUUUUUAGAUAAAUUUUCUAUUAAGCUUUUUAGUUGGGGCGACUAAGGAACAAAAAAAGCUUCUUUCUAACAAUAAACAAUCACGUUUAGAUCCGAUAGUAGCGAUUAAAGGAAUUAGUUACCGCAGGGAUAACAGCAUAAUCUCUCUUAAGAGACCUAAUCGAAAGAGGGGGUUGUGACCUCGAUGUUGGACUAGAA